GAAAAUUUUGUGAAUAAAUGAAUCCUAAUUUCUUUCGUGUCAAUUGAACCCUCGAAACGAGUUGUUUGCAAAUUUUGCCUUUUGCUUAUGUCUAAGUAGGGAGCAUUAUUGAAUAAAUUUGGUUUUGGAAUCUAAAGUUGGGGAGAGUAAAGUAAAAAGAGUUGAUUAGGAACUUGAAAAAGUGAGUUUUUAUGAAAGGGUGAAAAUAUGAAAAGAAACAAGAAAAAGAAAUCACCCUUGAAACCAUAGAGCAAAGAAAAA
rnacentral:lncRNA from 1 species